rnacentral:snRNA from 1 species
AAGUGAAACAACAUUUUCUCUU